UACAGAGGUCUCGAGCGUUGUUCGGAUUCAUUGGGCGUAAAGGGUGCGUAGGUGGCGCCGUAAGUGGGGUGUGAAAUUUCGGAGCUUAACUCCGAAACUGCAUUCCAUACUGCGGUGCUUGAGGACUGGAGAGGAGACUGGAAUUUACGGUGUAGCGGUGAAAUGCGUAGAUAUCGUAAGGAAGACCAGUGGCGAAGGCGGGUCUCUGGACAGUUCCUGACGCUGAGGCACGAAGGCCAGGGGAGCAAACGGG
rnacentral:rRNA from 1 species